rnacentral:lncRNA from 1 species
UUAAUUGUCCGGUAUUUUCCUGUUUUUCCUAUGUAUGCCUAAUUUGAUUGGAAAUUCUAAUUUUAAUUAAUUUGAAUUUUCUGAGCUAAUUAUUUGCAUUAUUAUUUUCAGGGAAAAUUUUGGACAAACAAUUUGGAGCAUUGGGAGGGAGACAAAAUAAUUCAAGACUCUUGUCAUAGACAUUUCAAAUUUAAUUACUUUGAAACUUAGUAGUCUAGAUAGUUUUUAAUUAAACUUGUAAACAUUGGGCCAAUUUUUGGCAAAAUAGUUUGAGCCCAAAUAGGAAACAUGACAUGACACCUGAGGUUUUGCAAAGAAGGUGGACCCCACCUCAUUUUUGGAGUGCACAUGGCCUUGCAAAAGAGCAACCAGCCGUCACAUUGCAUGGGCACACUCUUGGCAUUUUUUUUCUGAUUGAAGGGGGGC